CGAACCCAACAAUAUGAACCAUUUGAUUAUUACUUCAAAAGUGGUCACACACACAGAGAUAUCUGAUAUAAAUAUAUUAUUGUCUUUAGUUUCAUCAUCAGAUCCAAGCAAUAAUCCAUUUACAUCGUUGUGCAGGUAAAGCAUUUGAUCAAUUCACAGUUUUUUGAGUUUUGGGUUCUCUCCAAUCAUGGAACCCAGAUGGAACCAAAGCUCAGAAAUGAUCAAAAUUGAUCUGCGGGAGAAGAUUAUGGGUACACAAAACAAAAUGAACGAAUCUCUCCAAAACCCAAUCUCACGUGAAAAAAAAAUUGAAGGGGGAAAAGAAAACAAGAAAUGGCGAUUUUUUUCAUCUUCUCUGUGUUGUCUGAAAGGAGCUCAAAAACCCUAGUAACUAAUCAAUUUCUAAAUGCACAUUUGCCUCUACUGUAUCAAAACAGAAAUAAAUUUAUGAUUUCGAUUCUAAACUAAA